rnacentral:sRNA from 1 species
AGAACUAAAUUGCUGGUCUUGAUUGUUGUGUAAGAUACACUUUUAUUCAGCAGGAAUCCAAGCAGAAGACACUAACAAAGCAACAGUGGCUAUAGGCACUGGCCUGGGAAUAGCAGUUGUGGUUAUUUUACUGUUUGUUACAUUUUGUUUAAUAUACAGGAAUCGACGUCAGAAAAACGUGAGUGUCUCCUCCAAGUUUGUUGUGAAUGGGGAUGAUACUUUGCCCCGGGAAGAAAGCUGCCACUUAUUAGGU